rnacentral:rRNA from 1 species
GGAAUUUUCCGCAAUGGGCGAAAGCCUGACGCAGCCAUGCCGCGUGUGUGAAGAAGGCCUUCGGGUUGUAAAGCACUUUCAAUUGGGAGGAAAGCUGUGACGUUACCCUUAGAAGAAGCACCGGCUAACUCCGUGCCAGCAGCCGCGGUAAUACGGAGGGUGCGAGCGUUAAUCGGAAUUACUGGGCGUAAAGCGCGCGUAGGCGGUCUGUUAAGUCGGAUGUGAAAGCCCCGGGCUCAACCUGGGAACUGCACCCGAUACUGGCAGACUAGAGUGCGGGAGAGGGAGGUAGAAUUCCACGUGUAGCGGUGAAAUGCGUAGAUAUGUGGAGGAAUACCAGUGGCGAAGGCGGCCUCCUGGCUCGACACUGACACUGAGGUGCGAAAGCGUGGGGAGCAAACAGGAUUAGAUACCCCUGUAGUC